rnacentral:lncRNA from 1 species
CCCCCUCCCAUCUCACUAUCUCUCUCUCAGAAUUUCAUCCCUCUCUCUCAGCCCUAGGUCCCGCCGCCACAGCCACUUUGCGCCAUCGUCGGAGCCCGGCAGCUCCAUCGCGGCGUGGGUGCCGCCGCUCUCCUCACACCCAACGCACACACCCAGAUCCGCACUCAAAUCAGCGGCGUGGGUGCCGCCGCUCGUCCUCCCGGCCAAAGCAACGGCGAUAAGCCGCUGUCACGCCAGGCUCUCCCUUCUCUCUCUCGGCGGCAUAACCGCCUCACUUCUCCUUUUACCCUCCUGACUUAGAUCGGCGACGGUGAGAGCCUCCGCCGUCUGAGCCCUAGCCCCAAUCACGGCUCCCACAGAAUCCUUCGGCCGCCGCCACCGCUCGUUCUCCCUCAAUCUUCAACCGACAGCAGCAGAGUCGCGGCCGCCGCCGUCCGUCUGCCUUGGUACAGCCUCAUCGGCGAUGCUGUCACUCAAGGUAAGCUUCAAUCUACGAUUCCACUCUUCCGAGUUGCGAGUAUGUUAACUCAGUUCUCGGUCUUUUUGUUUGCGUAGGGAAAGAGAGCAGCACAGAUCUGGUGGCCUUGGGGUGGUUGAAGUGGAGGAAGCCGCGCGGAGAGGUGGAGGUGCCGAGGUACUGCGAUAAGGCGCCGGAGACUACUAUUAUAAAAGGGUGUUAAAGCUCAUAUUUUCCUUUCAAACUCAGACGAAAAUCUGCAUCCUAAUCAUUCUUCUCCUGAUUUUCUUCUGCUGGUAGCUUUUGGUGUUAUAUUCUUGGCGAUUCAUCUUCUUUAUAGCUUUGAGAAAUCGCUUGUGUAGUUUGCCCGCUAGAUGUUCGACAGAAUGCUUGAUAGAGU